CCUACGGGAGGCAGCAGUGGGGAAUAUUGCGCAAUGGGCGCAAGCCUGACCCAGCAACGCCGCGUGAAGGAAGAAGGCUCUCGGGUUGUAAACUUCUUUUAUCAGGGACGAAGGAAGUGACGGUACCUGAUGAAUAAGCCACGGCUAACUACGUGCCAGCAGCCGCGGUAAUACGUAGGUGGCAAGCGUUAUCCGGAUUUACUGGGUGUAAAGGGCGUGUAGGCGGGAAGGCAAGCCAGAUGUGAAAGCCAUGGGCUCAACCUGUGGCCUGCAUUUGAAACUGUUUUGCUUGAGUACUGGAGAGGCAGACGGAAUUCCUAGUGUAGCGGUGAAAUGCGUAGAUAUUAGGAGGAACACCAGUGGCGAAGGCGGUCUGCUGGACAGCAACUGACGCUGAGGCGCGAAAGCGUGGGGAGCAAACAGGAUUAGAUACCCGAGUAGUC
rnacentral:rRNA from 1 species